rnacentral:rRNA from 1 species
UACGAAGGGGGCUAGCGUUGCUCGGAAUCACUGGGCGUAAAGCGCACGUAGGCGGAUCUUUAAGUCAGGGGUGAAAUCCUGGAGCUCAACUCCAGAACUGCCUUUGAUACUGGGGAUCUCGAGUCCGGAAGAGAUGAGUGGAACUCCGAGUGUAGAGGUGAAAUUCGUAGAUAUUCGGAAGAACACCAGUGGCGAAGGCGGCUCACUGGUCCGGUACUGACGCUGAGGUGCGAAAGCGUGGGGAGCAAACAGG